GACGAACGCUGGCGGCGUGCCUAAUACAUGCAAGUAGGACGCAGUUGCGAACGGGUGAGUAACGCGUAGGUAACUACCUAUUAGAGGGGGAUAACUAUUGGAAACGAUCGCUCAUACCGCAUACUAGUAGAUGGCACUGCGUUGUAUUAGUUCUUAGGUAGGGUAAUGGCCUACCUAGGCAACGAUACAUAGCCGACCGGAGAGGGUGAUCGGCCACACUGGGACUGGGACCAGGCCCAGACGCCUACGGGAGGCAGCAGUAGGGAUUCUUCGGCAAUGUGGGGAACCCUGACCGAGCAACGCCGCGGGAGUGAAGAAGGUUUUCGGAUCGUAAAGCUCUGUUGUUAAGGAAGCGGUACUUAACCAGAAAGGGACGGCUAACUACGUGCCAGCCGCCGCGGUAAUUC
rnacentral:rRNA from 1 species